GCUCAAAUUUGUAAUCUGGCUGUCUUCGAUAGUCCGAGUUGUAAUCUAUAGACGUGUUUUCCGUGCUGGACCGUAUCUAAGUCCCUUGGAACAGGGUAUCAAAGAGGGUGACAAUCCCGUGCUUGAUACGACCACCAGUGCUCUGUGAUACACGCUCUACGAGUCGAGUUGUUUGGGAAUGCAGCUCAAAAUGGGUGGUAAAUUCCAUCUAAAGCUAAAUAUUGGCGAGAGACCGAUAGCGAACAAGUACCGUGAGGGAAAGAUGAAAAGCACUUUGGAAAGAGAGUUAAACAGUACGUGAAAUUGUUGAAAGGGAAACGAUUGAAGUCAGUCGUGUUCUUUGGAUUCAGCUAGUUCUUCUAGUCUACUUCCAUUGAACGGGUCAACAUCAGUUUUGUCCGGUGGAUAAAGAUAGUAGGAAUGUAGCUCCCCCGGGAGUGUUAUAGACUAUUAUUGCAUACACUGGGUGAGACUGAGGACUGCAGCUCGCCUUUUGGCCGGUCUUCGGACACGUUCGAGCUUAGGAUGUUGACAUAAUGGCUUUAAACGAC
rnacentral:rRNA from 1 species